rnacentral:misc_RNA from 1 species
UCACUACUUGCGUAGGCAGUCUCCUUAAAGUGCCCAGCUUUACCUGAUGGCAACUAAGGACAAGGGUUGCGCUCGUUGCGGGACUUAACCCAACACCUCACGGCACGAGCUGACGACAGCCAUGCAGCACCUGUACAAGCUCCCUGGCAAAGCCAGGGCACAGGCUUUCACCUGAUGAUAACUUGCUUUUCAAGCCUAGGUAAGGUUCUUCGCGUUGCAUCGAAUUAAACCACAUGCUCCACUGCUUGUGCGGGCCCCCGUCAAUUCCUUUGAGUUUCAACCUUGCGAUCGUACUUCCCAGGUGGAAUACUUAAUGCGUUAGCUUGGAUACUGAUCCUUAAAAGGACCAACAUCUAGUAUUCAUCGUUUAGGGCGUGGACUAC